UAGCUCAGUCGGUAAAGAAUCUGCCUGCAAUGCAGGAGACCCGGGUUCAAUUCCUGG
rnacentral:tRNA from 1 species